UUCCAUUGUUGAUCUGGAUCUGGUGUUGUACUACUGGGCUUGGAUUGUUCGUUGCGUUUUGUGAUUGGUUAGGUAUAAGUGGGAAUUUAUUCUGGCAAUUUGAUUUAAUUUUAUGGUUGCGGGAAGAUGAGGCUUGCAGAGCUCAGGGAGGCAGCAAAAGCCACGCGAUUUGGCAGUUUAGUGCCAAUUAUCGGAUCGGACUUCGUGCGUGAGGUGUCUCAGGCACCAUCAGAUAUCUGGGUUAUCCAAACAGGAUAUGGAAUUUAAUUCAUGGAGAAGAAUUCUAUCAACACCUAAAUUAAAAAAAAUUGAAUUGAAUCAAAUUCUGAGAAAUUCUGAGUAAUUCAUUUUUUAUGGAAUUCAAUGUCUAGAAUGUAAUUCCUAGAAUGGGUUUCAAUUCCUGCGAAACAAACGGGCCCUUAUUGUAAUAGAACCACACUAGACUACACAGCAUGGUAUUGAAGUUUGCCACGAUACGAUUGUUUGUUGGAGGUGCAACUUCACCUUUUCUUCUACCUCUCUCUAUCUACCAUUGACUACCAUCCACUACUUUGGUGGACUACAAUCUCACCUUCCAUUCUCCCCUCAUUCCCUUAGUCUAAUCACGUUUCUCCACUUUAGCUUAUCAUCAUCGCACAUAAUAAGUCUACAUAACAAAUUGAUCUUCGGAGUUCCACUAUGGCGACACAGAAAGGGACAAAGGCCAAAUGAAAAAAAGAAAAGUAUUCAUUGAUUCUAAAGCCAAUGUAUUUGACAUUACAAACAGAGGGUCUUGCAUUGUUCACUAAAUCACCUUUUUCUCAAGGUUUUGCUAGUUGUAAAUCAUAAGAUCUAUAAAAUACUCAUAGAAAAAAAAGAUGAAAUAUACCUUAGCUCCCCUGGCAGAUCCAGAAAAAAAAGAGAUGAAAUAUACCUUAGCUCCACUGGCGGAUCCAGAACCAAAGCGCAGGGGCCCGCUAGGCUCAUCUUCUUCAACCCCUAGCUCUUUACAUAAAUGCAUCCCUGGUUGAAAUUUUAAAUUUUAAGAGGGCUUUCAUGGUCCUAGCCCUUUGUACGAGCCGUUCAAUCAGCCCACCUAAGCCCACCUAAACGGGGCUCACUCUCAUCUCAGUACCUCUCUCAACCCUAAGCAAAGAACUAAGGUCCUGUUUGGAGUCGCUUUUCUGGAACUCGCUUAUCUGACAAGCAAGCUUAUCUGAUAAGCCUGCUGCCUGGAUAAGCUGUUGUCUGAAUAAGCAGGGUGUUUGGCAAUCCUGAUUAUUUUGGGUCGAUUGUCUGUCCAGGUUGGUAAAUUGACCUGAAUGCCCCUACCCCCAGAGAUCAGCACCUUCCAAUCAAGUUUCAUACAGUAACAAUUGGGACUAACAACACUGCGCACAAGUAUAUUUGUGUUUACCAGAUUUAGUUGUACCAUUCAGUAACUUGUGUGAUAAAGAGAUCAUCAACGUCACAUGUUAAAGAUCAAACCACAUUCCUGCACUCCCAGCUAGGAGGCGCACGCACAGCAGCGGCCGUGUCGCAGGCGGCUCUGGCGUCCGGCGGCGGGGGCGGUGUCCGGCGGCGGGGCGGCACCCAGCCGGCGGGGGCGUCCGGCGGCGGGGCGGCGCCCAGGCGGCAGGACAGUCCGGCGCGCGGGGCCGGAUCCCAGGCGGCGGAGCGGCGGACGCGGCGCCCAGGCGGGGACGUCCGGCGGCGGGGUCGGCGACCAGGCGGCCCGCGGCGGGGGCGGCGCCCAGGCCCGCGGCAGGGGCCUGGCAGGGGCGGCCGGCGGAGGUAGGGAGGCGGGCCGGGCGACCCGAGCGGCGGCGGCGGGAUCUGGAGCGGCGGCGGCGGGAUCUGGAGCGGCGGCGGUUGCGGGAGGAGCGGCGGCGGUCGCCUGGAGGCGUUGCGCGAGGGUACCGGGGGAAAAUAAGCUCCGCUUGCGGGAGAAGCGUCUCCAGACCCGCGUAGGAGAUAAGCCCGGUCCUAGUUCAAUUUCAGAUUUUCCCCUAAGCGGCUUACGUGAUAAGCGGGGAAUAAGCGAGGCGUUUGGGUGGGCUUAUCGCUUAUUUUCACCAAUAAGCGGGAAAUAAGCGACUCCAAACAGGGCCUAAAAUAGAGGAAGGAAAAGAACCUCAAGAAAUCCCCAACCCAAGCCUCACAUCACUAGAGAACCCGGGUGUUUCACCAAGGACGCGAGGAAGUUCGACUUCAAGUUUA
rnacentral:lncRNA from 1 species